GACGAACGCUGGCGGCGUGCCUAAUACAUGCAAGUAGAACGCACAGUUUAUACCGUAGCUUGCUACACCAUAGACUGUGAGGUGCGAACGGGUGAGUAACGCGUAGGUAACCUGCCUGGUAGCGGGGGAUAACUAUUGGAAACGAUAGCUAAUACCGCAUAAUAUUAAUUAUUGCAUGAUAAUUAAUUGAAAGGUGCAAUUGCACCACUACCAGAUGGACCCGCGUUGUAUUAGCUAGUAGGUGAGGUAACGGCGCACCUAGGCGACGAUACAUAGCCGACCUGAGAGGGUGGUCGGCCACACUGGGACUGCGACACGGCCCAGACUCCUACGGGAGGCAGCAGUAGGGAAUCUUCGGCAAUGGACGAAAGUCUGACCGGGCAACGCCGCGUGAGUGAAGAAGGGUUUCGGAUCGUAAAGCUCUGUUGUAAGAGAAGAACGGGUGUGAGAGUGGAAAGUUCACACUGUGACGGUAUCUUACCAGAAAGGGACGGCUAACUACGUG
rnacentral:rRNA from 1 species